rnacentral:rRNA from 1 species
UACGUAGGUGGCAAGCGUUGUCCGGAUUUAUUGGGUUUAAAGGGUGCGUAGGCGGCCCUGUAAGUCAGUGCUGAAAUAUCCCGGCUUAACCGGGAGGGUGGCAUUGAUACUGCAGGGCUUGAGUGAAGUCGAGGUAGGCGGAAUUGACGGUGUAGCGGUGAAAUGCUUAGAUAUCGUCAAGAACCCCGAUAGUGAAGACAGCUGACUAGGCUUAUACUGACGCUGAGGCACGAAAGCUAGGGGAGCGAACGGG